AUGUCCUCUGUUUUGAUUUUGCCGACACCAUUCCACAUCUUGGCAUUCACCACCAAAAGUCUCAUACCUGCCUGAUCAGAUCUGACAUCAUCAACUUCCCUGUGCAGGUUUGGCGACCCGUCUGCCUCCCCCCCGAGACCUGGUGAAAUAUGCAGAGAGCUGCAUGUACACUCCUGUCUACCGUAACUAUCGGUAGUGCUGCGGGGAUCAAUUUUGCAGUAAUAAAAUCUACCAACGAUCAACGCAGAUGAUACUGCAAUGUUGUAGUUAUUGGGCCUUGUCGGAACUGUUCAUCACUGGAGGAUAACAGCUAUAGCGCUGUUGGAGUAGCAGGCUGAUUGUGUUUGUUGUCCCCUGCUGCUAACCAUCCUUGGUGCUCGCGCUGCUGGUAUAUGAUAUGUUGUAAUGUUAUGAAAGCAAACAGUCUUGUGUGCCAAUAUUUGUUAUUCUUUCGGUCGCUUAUAUGAUGGUCUGUUAAAGAGGCUGACAUGCGUGAAAACAAAUCAAGAUGCCCGCCUUCAUGAACACGCCCACCUCGUCAACUAUCGUGGCCACCACCACCGUCUUGUUCAUUGGCAGCCGUGAGACUCAGAUCCAGAUGGGAAUGAAGGAAAAAUCAAUCUCAUCAAUGAUUUCUUUUUUUUUUUUGAAACUGAAUAAUAAUAAUACUAGGAGAGGCCCUGUUGGGUUAGCCACACGCGCAAGUCUCAAGUCACGCGAAAAACGAGCGCCUCGUGGAUACCAGCACUAGAACCUACGGCCUCAAGCUUCACAUGUUCAUCCCUAACCACUUCACCCGUAAGAGCCAUCAAAAUCUGCCACCACCACGAGCUUGUGCAUUUGCUCUGAAAUACAUACGUCAAUAUAAACCUCGUCACACUUGAAAAUUAUUCAUGCCUCCGCCAUUGUAGAGGACGAUCGAUCUGGGCAGCAGCACUCACCUGGCAGCCAAACAGAUUGCAGGCUCGGCGCCUCGCAACCUCGGCGGUAAGCUUCAGAGCUCAGACUCCUCUUAGGAAAGAUGAGCAAUAUAUAAUGAUUAUAAUCCCAGCACGUGUUCUACGAGAGGCUCACACAUGUUAACAAAAGACCACCAAGCAAAUAAAAAGCCUUGCUAACGACUAGUGGUUGGAGUAUUGUAGUCCUGCUCUUUGCAGUGGGCAGUGGGGGCAUCGCCCGGCUGUGGUCUAUACAGGCUGCAGCGAAAAGGCUGCUUGCUCCACCAGUAAAACAAAGGCGCCCGCUGCCGUUGAACACCCUCGCGUUUCGUGGGUACGUGGUGUGGGGCUCAGAGUGGCCAUUUUUGAGUUUUGAGCGGUGCAGUGCAGGGAUACAUAGAGAGCAUGUCUGUACGAUGAGAGCUAGUUAUACUGUCACCUAAGUGUUUUGCUGAUGCGGCAAGGUAAAGGUAAUUAUUAAAGAGAAAGAGCAAAAAUUAUAGAAACCGGGUAUAAAAUAGAAAUCAUGUCUACACGAGAACCAAAAUAUGAAGUGAUGUGAUUGGUUGAGAAUGGAGAGUGAAUGAAUGUGAUUGAACAAAAAAUUAUUUCGUAGAAACUAUCCAUUGAGACUAUGAUUUCACAUAUAGUGAUUAUGGAAUUUAAUAGAUAUAGAAACAACAUGUAGUUUAGCAUGGGACUGCCCUGAAUCGGAGUGGUUGUACCAUUUAAAUUAAGUAUGCACUAGCAGAGAUAGAUUUAGAUGGUGCAACUUGUGUUGUUUGUUUGAGCUGCACCAGAUGGGUCUAGCUAUAGCCUAUAGGAACAAAUAUUGUGUUGAGUUUUAUUAUGGUACUCUUAAAUAAUUGUGAGUCAUUUAUUUAUUGUGGUCGAAUGGUACAAUCACCUACUACCUUAUAAUCAAGAGGUAGGUAAUAUGUGAAAUUUACCCUAAUAUCUAUUUAGCUUUUUAUUUUGUGAAUUAGUAUAAAUAAGGGAAGUUUUAGGUGUAUAAAAUCUUUUUCUAGAUUUAAUUGAUACAUGCAUAAUUUGGUAGAUAUGGUAAAUCUUUCUUAUUUUGCAAGUUCAAACUUGAUAUAUUUUGAUUACCAUGUAAUUUUUCAUGUAACUUAAUACACUUGAAUUUGUAUGCAAUAUGAUUUGCAAGUGUGAUACCUCGUGAUUAGGUAGUCUAAAGUUAGCUUGAUCUAAACUUUAGCCCACCUCGCAUUAGAGCCUUAGAUCUUAAAAUUGAGCUAAAGUGCUCUAAAGCUUCUAGACCUCUAAAAUUUGGAGGAUGACAUCCAAACGGGCCAUUACAUGUAGCAUCUUCCCAUGGCCCAAGGCACUCUAUUGAUUAGGCGCUAGCUAGUCACAUUUCACUUGGUCAAUCAAUUGAUUCGAUCGCGGUGUCGUAUGCAUGCACUCGCAUCUUGUGGACGGAGGAGACGUGACGUCUCUUUUUUCCUUGAGAGUAUGUAGACACUUUUGAGUUUUAUGGUGGUAUGGUGUAGUGGCCGAGAGAGAAUGAGGGAAAGUUUGUUUGCAUAGAUUGGAAUGGUUGUAUCAUCUGGAUUGGACCAACAGUAGUAGGGAUAUAUAGUUGUAAAUGGUGAUGCACACACGCACUCGCAUCUUGUGGAGAGAGAGGACGUGGCGUGUUUUUCUGUUCUCAUGAGAGCAAAUACUUUUGAGUUUUGUGGUGGUGUGGUUAAUGAUGAAGAGAAAAUAAGAGCAUGUUUGUUUGCCUGGAUCAGAGUGGUUGUACUAUUGGGAUUGGACCAUCACUAGUAGGGAUAGGUGUAAAUUGUGACGCACCCAUGCAUUGGCAUCUUGUGGGUGAAGAUGGCGUUGCAUGUCUUUUUUUCAUGAGAUCGACAGCUUUUGAGUUUUACGGUGGUGCAGUGCUGGUGAUGGAGAGAGAACGAGGACAUGUAUGUUUGUCUGCAUCAGAGUGAUAUACCAUCUAGAUUGAGUCAACACUAGUAGGGACAUAUGUAAAUAGUACAACUUAUAUUAUUUGUUUGAACUACACCAGAUGGCAUAGUGUACAAAUAUUGUGUUUGUUUGCCUACGUCAGCCAUGGCUCCAAGCCUUUACACUUACAAGUAGCAUCUUCAUGUGGCCCAAGGCACUCUGGGCGCCAAUUAGCCAUAUUUUCGCUCAGUCGAUCGAUCAAUUUGAUCACCAAAACACAUGCAUAUCACAUCUUAUGGUCGGCGAUGGCGCAUCAUAUCUUUUUUAUGAGAGCAGACACUAUUGAGUUUUGUGGCGGUGAAGUGUAGUGGUGGAGAGAAUGAGGGUAUUUGCCUAGAUAAGAGUAGUUGUACCAUCUAGAUUGGGCAAAGCACUUGUAGGGAUACGUGUAAAUGGUGACGCAUGCACGCCUUCACGUCUUGUGGACCGAAAUGGCGCAGUGUGCAUUUUUAUCCUAAGAGCGGACACUUUUGAGUUUUGUGGUGGGGCGAUGCAGAGAGAGAAUGAACGACAUGUUUGUUUGCCUGGAUCAGAGUGGUUAUACCAUCUCUAUAUAUUGGGCGCCAUCCAAACAUAUUUUCACUUAGUCAAUUGACGCAUCUUGUGGACGGAGAUGACGUGGUGUGUCUUCUUUUUUUCAAGAGUGGACACUUUUAAGUUUUGUGGUGGUGUAAUGUUGUGAAGGAGAGAGAGAAUGAGGAUAUGUUUGUUUCUAUGGAUAAGACUAGUAGCCGUAGGUGUAAAUGGUGCAACUUAUAUAUUGUUUGUUUAAGUUAAACUAGAUGGGCCUAUGUAAUAAACAAAUAAUAUGUUUGUUUACAUGCAUCAGCCAUGGCUUCAAGCCUCUACUCUUACAACCAACACCUUCAAGUGGCCCGUGGCAGCAACAUGCGAGCCAGGCUGAACAGGGACAAAGCCAGAAAAAAAUGUAGGAGGGGCUGAACAAAAUUGUUACAUCGACUUAACUUUACUAUAACGCCUCACAAUAGGAAAAAAUAUAUUAGAUUCAAGUAGUCUUAUAUUAAUUCACAAAAUAUAUCUAAAAAUAAAAGUCUCAGCCCACCAUACCUUAUAAAUUUGUGUCUAAAAUUAGAAGAAAAACACUAGGAGCUCCACUAAAUCAGUAGCGGUAGGGGGGCUAGAGCCCCACCGCUAGCUUCGUCCAUGAGGCUGAAUAAGGUUUGGUUUAGGCCCUAUUUGAUUUGAGUCGGUAAACUUUAUCAAUGUUUGGACACAUGCAUAAAGCAUUAAAUAUAGACUAUUUACGAAACUAAAAAACACAGCUAGAGAAUAAUUUGCGAGAUGAUUUUUUAAAACCUAACUAGUCUAUGAUUGUAUAUUAAUUACCAAAUAAAACGAAAAUAGUACAGUACCAUCAAACUUUAACAUCCCAACCAAACACGCCCUUAGUUUCUCUAGAGCUAUGCUCUUAGGCGCUUUAAGAAGUGUGCGGCCCUGACUCAUUGCUUCAUCUAGAUAAACAACCAGAAGCUAGUGUGCGGCCCUGAGCUAGCUAGUUUUCGAGCUGGUGCAGGCAAACAAAUGCGAGACCCCCACCUCCUCCAUCCCUUUCUCGCAACUCGCAUGCACGAACGAGCUCAUUCAUGAUCAAGCAGGCGCGUUGACGUGGAAUGCCUUUGCCAAACUAUCGAAGUACAGCAUCAUUCAGCCCGUGCCCGUCCAUCAUGCAGAGCGUCGCUGGGUCGCUGCCGCUGAAGCCGUGCGUGAUGACAAUUCACCAGUUGCUUGCUCGCUCUCGCUCCUUCAAUCAUACGAGCAUUGCCAUCGCAUGCGUCUCCGAGGGCGGGCGUAGGGUCUCAUUGGGAGUUUUGGUUGGAUCAUCGUCAGCGCAGCCACGAUCGAGUGACGAAGGAAGGAGCGAGGGACGGCGGCGGAGGGGCACAAGUCGGAAGGUGAUUUGCAACAGGUACAUGUAUGGGUUUUGGACCGGCAGUUGCAUGUAUGCGCCAACGCGAGCCCACGCCGGUGCCUCUUGAGCCAAUAGACCCACCUAAUAAGCUUAGACCUUGUGUUUAGUUGGGAUUUUUUUUUUGGCUUUGGCCACUGUAGCAUUUCGUUUAUAUUUAGCAAUUAUUGUCCAAUCAUAUGGACUAACUAGGCUCAAAAGAUUUAUCUCGCAAAUUACAGACAAAUUGUAUAAUUAGUUAUUUUUUUUAUCUAUAUUCCAUGCUUCAUACAUGCGUCUAAAGAUUCGAUGUGACGAGAAAAAUCUUGAAAAUUUUUAGGAACUAAAUAAGGCCUUAACAUGGUCUAACAGAAUGAGAAUUUGCAUAGUUUCCAUGCAUCUUAUUCUGCACUGUCAUGUACUUAUGUUUGGGCGUUUGGCAAGAUCGUUUCUCUAUUGCCUUUUUCCAUUUACCAACUGGUCAAGGGUUGCACUGCUUUCGUUUAUAGCCAAUCGUUUGUGUACAGUUCACCUUCUAGUCAGUGUCUUAAUUCAACGUCGAGGCAUGCACUUUGCGUUUUAAAGAAGACUUCGGAGACGCACAGAAUUUCCAACCGCCUUGGUUAAUACCUCGGAUUAACCGAGGCAGACAUUUUUUAUUGACCGGGGCGGUUGGAAAUACAGCCUCACAAAAUCGAUUUACCGAAGCAAUCGUCUUAAGCCAACUGCCUCCAAAUAUAGUUUAUUUUCGGAGGCCGCCUCGGUAAAUCUAUUUUUGGAGAUGGUUACUCUAUAAAGCCCACCUCAGUGAAUCAUGGCCCAGUAGGCAUCCCAUUCAGCCUGAUAUCCCGCCGUUGUAUAUAUACUGUUGUCUAGGGUUUCCUUCCCACUCCUCCAACCGGCAGUCGCGCCCCUCACUUCGCAUACCACAGCCGCACGGCUUCUCUUGCACCCCACUAUCGCGGCCUCCCCUCCACGGCACCCCACUCACCUCUCCUCCCUCACCGACUCCUCUUUCUCCCUUUCCUCUCCAUCUCCCUACCUCUCUCCGGUGGCGGUGGCACGGUGUGCUGCCAUGCAGCACAGCGGCGGUGGGCCGCGCCGGCACUUGGCGCACGGGGAGGCUAGAUCUGGCCUUGGCGUGGCAGAUCCGGCAACUGUGGCACAUCCCCUCUUCCUCGAGCUCGUCGGUGCACAGAGAGGCCAGAUCUCGGCGCCCCCCUUUCCCUCUCCAACCCGGUGGCUGACGGCACCCCUUCCUUCUCCAGGUCCAGCAACGUGCAGCAUGGGCGUGGCAAGGCGGGUCGCGGCUGUACAAGCGUUGCGGCAGUGCUCCCUCCCCCGAGCUCCUCCACCAGCACGCGGCCAACCCCCCUCCCUAAUCUGGCGUGGAGGAGAUGGAUCCACCUUCACGGCUCUACCACGACACGAAUUUAGCGUGGAGGAGCCCACCGACAACGGAUCCGAUAGGGAGGUGCGCUCCGGCAGCGCUGCGGUGGCUAAGGAUGAAAACGGUCGAACUCGGUCGAAAAACUGCUCAAUUAUUUUCUAUUUUUACAUUUAAAUACGAAAACGGAAACGAAAACGGUAAAGCCGAACACGAACACGAACUCGAACGUACGGAAUCUCGAACACGAACCAAUUCGAGCGAAAUUAUAUCGAACACGGUCGGUAUACGGAAUUAAUACGGAAUACCGAUCCACAGUACAUAAUCUUAACGAAGUGUACGAACACCACCCACGUGUCCACUCGCCACCAGUACCAUACUACCAGAAGUCCAGAACCAUACUAUACCAUCCGAUAACAGUCAAUAGCCAAACAAGUACAUGACCGCAUAAACUCUCAAGUGUCAUCACACCGACACACAAAUAUAUAAGUCUAGAACAAACAAUUAUUAGGAAAUACAUGUCUAAAGUUCACCAAGCAGUCAAUGAACAUACCUCAAUUUUGAGUUUAGCCACAACAUUAGUCAAAGCAUCUGAAUAUAAUAGAUAACAUGAGUUAGAAUUUAGUACUCCGAAUUUCGAACCGAAUCCGAAUUUGUCCGAAUUUAAAAACGAUCAAAUUCCGAAUAUAAUAUGGAAAUAUGGAAACCGGUCGAACAAACCCCAAACCGAUUUCGCUCCGAGUUCGAAUUUAGUACUCCGAAUUUCGAACCGAAUCCGAAUUUGUCCGAAAAAUACAGAAUCGAUUGGGUCAAAUUUAGAAAACGAUGCGGUUCGGUUCGGGAUAUUUCUGUUCUGUUUUCAACGUUAGCGGUGGCUAGCAGUAGGGCUGGAACCGGGCUUGCUGGUGGGCUCAGAAAUAGGCUCACCGAUGGACUCUAGGUUUUUUAAAUUUUUUUCAUUAACCGAGACGAGUGAGACAACUACCUCGGUUAAUGUCUGAUUUUCUGUGACUUUUUAUUGGAGACGUUUUGUUUACCCGCCUCCUAAAAUCCAAAACGCCUGCCUCUGUAAAAAAAUAUUGUAGUAAUAGUGAUGUAAACAAUGCUGAACUGAGACAUAAGGGCCAUACAAACCAUGUUAUCGGCAUUACCAAAACAUUAAUGAUAUAUAGUUGCUUUAUUUAUGAUUAUUUUUUCUAUGUUUUUUUAAUAUGCAAAAGAUUUAUGUAUCAUUGUAUUAAGUAGAAAAGUUUAAACAAACAUACAACGUGCUUCUAUAGAGCGUCAAAAAGAUUAAUCUAACAUAGACAUUGCUGGACCAUCCUGUGAUACGUCAUAUCUAAGGUUCUUGCACUGUGGUGAACUGGUGAUGGUGCUUGCACAGGUCUUAGUGUUACCAUCAAGCCAUGUCCACUAGAUCCUAUUUUUUAAGUCAUUGCAUUGGGCGCCCGAUGUUCUACUGUUUUAAUAAAAGAAAUACAGUCCAAUUUGCAUCCGGCGACAGGGGUGAAUCGAAGAAAAGAAACACUCCGCCGCACCUGGAUUUGGACGCGCCGCGGGCACACCGGCGCGGUGGAGGACGGAAUUAAAUUGAGGUUUUGUUUGGAUGUUGUCGGAUUCACUUCAAUCCAUGUGUGUUGGUGUGGAUUGGGGUGGAAUUUAGUUCAAAUACCACUCCAAUCCACCUCAACACAUUUGGAUUGAUGUGAAUCCGACUACAUCCAAACAAGACCUGAGGUGUGGCGAAAGCUUGUAACAACCAUCACUUCUAUUGUCACAGAAACCUACGAUAGCAAUCACUUUUGUUGUCUUAUACAAUUAAAUGUGUGUGGUUUUAGGGGCAAGCGUCUGCAUCUUUACCUUAUUUGAUUGAAAAAAAAAAGGAUACAGAGUUGAUUCAGUCAAGAUCCUACUGAUCGAUGUUGAUCAAACUGGAAUUAUCAAAGGCAGAUCGAUCUCUGAAAACUUCGUCUACGCCACAGAGUUGAUUCAGUGUUGUCACAAAGCGGAAGGCACCGACGCUGGUGAUCAAAUUGAACUUCGCCAAGGCGUUCGAUUCUGUGAACUGGCAUGCAGAGUCUCCUCCAGUGCGCGGCUUCUCCCCUCUUUGGUGCCGAUGGAUGAAGCAGCUUGUCUACGUCCCGCUCCGCUGUGCUGGUAAAUGGCAUACCGAUACUCUCGGCCCUUGGAUCACGGCAAACUACAAGGUCUCCGGCAAGGGGACGCCCUGCUGUCACCCUAUAUCUUCCUCCUGGUGGCUGAUGUCCUGCAAAGGUUUGAUCAUGGGAGACGGUGGCAUCCGCCACCCACUCUCCGACUGCCCGAGCCCGGUGCUGCAGUGACUAAUUUACCGAGCCUCAAUGUGGUUCAUAUGGUCUAACAACUUCGGUCUGCCCCGUGUCAAAGUAUUCGGAUGGCUGCUCGAUCAUCAAGUAAAAGAUCCAAUGCAAAUCCUCGCUGGUGCGCAAAAAAAUGUACUUGCUUUCAGGACGCCUGCUCCGAUCUGUGCCGUGAUGGUGAAGAGACUGUAGACCACAUCAUGUCAGAGUGCGCAUUCGCACGAGAAUUCUGGUGCAGCAUCAAGCAUAUCGCCAAGGUAGUCAUCGACGAUUCGACGCCGCCAACGAUGCCGACUGCAGCCAACUCACCAUUACUCCUACUCUGUUGCUGGGAACUCUUGAAGCAUGCACCGUCACGAUCGAUGUUGUCUUGAGGGCUGUAUACGGAGCUAGUCGCCGCAUCCCUCGCCGCCACAAUGCUCUUUCUGAAUUCCGGUGUAAUGUAUGUCUUUGCUAUGUAAUCUCCCCCACAUCCCCUGUCCCAGAAACAAUGUAAGUUUCAAGGCCACAUGCCUGCAUCUGUGGUUUAAUAUAUCAGGUGUGGGGGGGAUCUUUUGAUCCCUGUCGUCGACCUAAAAAAAAAGACAAAGGCAAACUGCAUUCUCCCUUGGACGUCAAUCCGUUUGCAUGCACGGCCGUGCCUGUGCCUCACGCCGGCAAGCAACACCGCAGAGGGCGUACGAUGCAGGGCUUGUUUAGAUCCAAAAAAUUUUUGGAUUUUGGCACUGUAGCACUUUCGUUUUUAUUUGACAAAUAUUGUCCAAUCAUGGAGUAACUAGGCUUAAAAGAUUCGUCUCGUGAUUUACAGACAAACUGUGUAAUUAGUUUUUAUUUUUAUCUAUAUUUAAUACUUCAUGCAUGUGCCGCAAGAUUUGAUGUGUUGGGUUUUUUGGGUGUAUCCUAAACAAGGCCGCAUUCGUCGAUAUCUUUGUGCCCGUACGUCUGCCGCGCCGCCACCUUGCGCCACCUCUGACCAAAGGCGAUCGACGAUCCGAUGCUGAUAGUUGACUGAGUGCCUCCAUCCGCGCGGUCACCCUUGCAUUGCAUCUUGCUUCUUCCUGGCACAGAUGAGUAGAUAUGAGCGAGCACGGCAGGUUCGCAUGCACUUUGCAGCGACGGCGCGGCGGACAGAGGGAUGGCAAUGCACGCCACGUAUUUCACGGAAAACUUAAUGUAUGGCGGACGCCAUACCAUGGCAUACCAUGCCCUAUCGAGUCCUUUGGCCAGGCGUCUGUUCUUGGCCACAGCCGCAAAGGCAAAUCGGUGCAGUGUUGGCCUCUCUUUUUAUCAGUGAUCAGUAACAAAAGCAAUGGGAUGAGGAGGGACUCUCUUCUUAUCAGUGAUCAGUGAUCAGUAACAAAAGACACGGGGAUGAUCCUUUCAAGCUCGUCUUUGCGGCAAUUGAUUAGUGGCCAGGACCACGGAAUAGGGCAGGUUGACAGGUGUGAUGGGUGCCGCGCUGGUCCGCCAACGAAAGCGAUUUUUAGUAAAGCUCAAUAGCACAUCAGUCAUCGUAAAUGGACUUGCAUUGGUUGAGAUGAGGAAGCAAAAUGUUAGCGAUCGACCACAGUCUUGUCUUAGCUAACAUAACAUGCAUAUGGACGAGCUAGCGUAUCACCUGCAUGCACCUACUAACUGACCAUCAUCCAUCAGAUGGAGUACUGGAGAGAUCGAGAGAGAGAGAGAGAGAGAGACGAUCAAAAGUUAUCAUGUAACCACUACCAUCUUCAUGAAUUCAUUCUAGUAUUUGACGAUCUAACAAUGUUAUUUGUCUCGUGAUAAAUGACUAUUUUGUCUAUAAUAAGACGUACGUGAAUCUCGAAACCUAACAACUUAGUAUUUCGAAGGUGCUCAUAAUGAGGUAGAAUGUGUGUAGGUUUAUACAGGUUAAGCGUGUGUAUAUGUACUGUGUAGUUCAGUAAAAAUUUACUAGUUAAGGACAUGUUCAACAAAUGCAAAAUAUAAUAAAAUGUAAGUACACAUGUUGUAAACCUAAAUUUUCAUUAAAUGUAUUCUUUAGAUGAUAAAAAAAUCUAUUCUAAUUAUAUUUUGUGUGAUUUUAUUGUCCAGAAGUAAAAAAAAUUGUUAUGAUAUUAGAAGGGGGCAUGGCUAGCUCUUGCUGCCUCUAGCUCCACCCCCGUUUCUUCCCUUUUUAUAUGGCGACAAAACAGUUCAUCCUCUUUUUGAUCGUGUUAGUCUUAACAUUACGUUUUUCCUUCCUAACCAGAAAAACCACAACGAAAAAUUUGGUCACUAGGUCAUCCUUUUUUUCUGUCCACCUAAAACCUUGAGUCCUCACAAACUUAUUUCAUAGCUUUCCACAUAGGACGUGUUUGGCUAAGAUGUAGCUAAGGUGUCACAAGCCACACGCAACCACGCACGGUUGCAGUGGUGUCUAAAGCACAGUCUUUAAAAUUAGCGCCACGGGUGUGACGUGGUUUUGAAAGGAAAAAAGUAAUAGCUGUCACACAUGAAGGGCCUAACAAAAUAGUAGCUUUUCAUUCCAUGGUGCACUGUAAGUUAGGCAUAUGGGCAACGCGUGGCGAGGAAAUAAACAUCAUCAUCCUUAAUAUGAGUAACGUUUCCUUAAUACGAGUACGAUUGAGAUGGAAUGGACUCCUAUGUUUGAGAUCAGCUAUACAAAGUUGAAUGAUAUUUAACUACUCUUUCUAUUUCAAAUUAUGACGUUUUAAUACGUAGCUUUUGUUAUACACUUAAAUAUAAUAUAGAACGUGUGUCUAGAACUCUAGAUACAUAAUAAAGAGUACUACAUUCAGAAAAGUUAAAACAUAUUGUAAUUGGAAUUUAGAAUGGAUUGAGUAGAUUGAUAAUGGUAUAGUGUAGCCGACUACCAUACAGCGUCUGGAUACAUAAUAAAAAACAAUAUAUUUAGAAAAAGCUAAAAUACUCCCUCUGUUUAUUUUUAAUUGUCGUUGUUAGUGUACGUGGCACAAGUUUGACUGAAUUUGUAGAAAAUACGUGCAACAUUUGUAUCUCUAAAUAAAUUUGGUAAAAACUAGAUUCAAAGAUCUUUCUAAUGAUACUAAUUAUUUAUUAUAAGUAUUAAUAUUUUUAAUAGAUAAUUACAGGCGCUUGUUUUUUGGAAGUGUAAGCGACACUUAAAAAGAGACGGAGGUAGUAUUUUGUAAUUGCAAUUUAGAAUGGAUUGAGUAGAUUAAUAAUGCUGUAGUGGAGCAAACUAACCCACAGCACGAUGUGUACUAAACCGGUCAGUCCCAAGGUUCAGCAAACUAUCAUCCCGUCGGCUAAAACGGGAGGAAGCAGAAAGCACACCGUCAAUACCCAAGGUCAGGGUGGUCGGUGGGCAGCAGCCAACCAGCACGCCAGCAGCGCCUUCCACUACCCGACGUGUGUGCCGCACACGCGGAAAACUAGAACGCCGCGCCCAAGCCGAGCUCCCUCCCCUCCCUGCUUGCUUCCCUUCCCUUUUUAUACCCCUCGCCACCAUUCCCUUCUCCACACUACUACUGCCCCUGCGCCAGCUCCGAAGAGGGAGGAGGAGGACGCCAGUUGCCCCACUGCCGCGCCGCUCCCGCCUCCCUCUCUCUCUCUCUCUCUCUCCAUCCGCCGAACUGGACGCCACCAUGAUCUCCGCUCGCGCCGCCACCGUCGCCGCCGCGUCCCCCGCCUCCCCGGUACGUUCCACGAGCGUCCCGGUGCGCCCCGCGCGCCCGCGGUUUGUUGCGGGGGUACUCUCCCUCGUCCACCCAGCCGAAGUUGAUUAUUGCCACCUGACCAUUUGAGCUUGUGUGUGUGUGUGUGUGUUUAUUCUCCGCAGUGGAAGCGGGGAGGAGGACGGAGCGAGGGUGCCGGCAGCUGCGACGGAUGCAGCACCUACAGGAAGACCGUGCGGAGGAGGGCCGCCGCCGCCAAGGUGCGCGCCUUGCCGCCGAAGCGGGUGGAGGCGGUCGCGAUAGGCUCCGCCGCGGAGACGGAGACGGAGGAGGUGGUGGUGGAGGUGGCGGCGGCCAACGAGGAGCUGCCCGUCAUGCCCUGGGCCACCUCUGUCGCAAGGUGAGCCGUCGAAUCGCGUGGGGGCUCUGCCUGUCGUCUACCUCCAACAUAUCCAUGCAUACUGCUUCUAAUAAUUCUACCGUUGCUUUGCUUGCUUCUAGUCAAAUCUCUAAUUGCUUGUUCUAUAUCACUAGUGUGUUCGUGUGCUUGACUAGCUGCAUUCUUCUGUACGUCCUCUCCUGAUGCCUUCAUCGAAGACAACUUUACCAUUUAGUUUGCCUUUCAUUUUAGUUUCAAUACUAGUUUAUCGAAACGUGCUUCUGCCUAACUAAGAAGCUCCAGCCUGAUACUGAUGUAAGUCUAGAUUUGUUAAAUCACCAUAUGUCACAUGGGAGUUUCUAGCAAGUUUCAGAUUUUUUUUUUUUUGGAGGGGGUGGUGUUGUAGAAUUCUGAAUUCGGAAUGUAUAUUUUUGGCGUUGUUGUAGAAUUCUGAAUCGAGUUGGAGUCAAAUGAACUCAUGCCGAUGAGUUAGGACCACAGUUGUUGAACAAAAAGCUGGGAAUUGUCUGCUUUGCUUUAGAUUUGUCCUGUUUCGUGCAAGUAUAUUCUAAGCUGGCCCACAGAGAUACGAAUUUGUCCACUACCCCUUCGGCACUGAAAUAUGAUGGAAAUUGAUACUAAAUUGCAACCAUAUUGUGGUACUAUACUACCAAAUCGAAUUUGUCAUGUAAUCUACUGUGAAGGGUAACCUUCGCCGCUCACAAUGAUAGCAUGUCAAGCAUCAAUAUGGCCAUGUUACCCAAAGGGGGAAAAAAACAAUUGGGCUGUACAAUCUUCAUGGCUGGAUGCAAAGCUUUUCUUUGAAUCCACGACCAUAAUUCUUUCCACUAAAUAAGUUUCCUCCACUUGGUUGAAGAAUAUGCUGACAUGUCUUAUUUCUACAUCAGCGGUUACACCCUUUUGAGGGAUCCACGUCACAACAAGGGUCUUGCUUUCACGGAGAAGGAGAGGGAUGCACACUACUUGCGUGGACUGCUUCCUCCGGCAGUUGUCUCUCAGGAACUCCAAGUAUGGGCCACAAUAAACAGUACCUGUUCUUGUGAUGACCUUUCUUUCUUUUUAUUUUUAUUUACUGAAGAUCACUUUAAUGUAUGUGUAGAUUAAGAAGUUCAUGAACAACCUGCGGCAGUACCAGCUCCCUAUUCAGUGCUAUAUGGCCAUGAUGAACCUUCAGGCAAUCCCAGUUUAUCCUUUCUACUGUUAUAUGAAAGCUUGCGACUGCCAUCAUAAUUGAUAUGAGAUGUUCAGUUAGAAUGAAUGGGUAGUUGCAUCAUUGUGCUUAACACCUCCUGUUUUCAGGAGACGGACGAGAGGCUUUUCUACAAGCUUUUGAUUGAAAAUGUGGUGGAGCUGCUUCCUUAUGUUUACACACCAACUGUAGGUGAGGCCUGCCAGAAGUAUGGGUCCAUCUUUGGACGACCACAGGGUCUGUAUGUCAGCCUGAAGGACAAGUAUGUGCAACAAUAUUUGCUUGAACUUUACAAUAACAUAUAGCUGUCUACCAUCUACCUAUUUGAUCUGGACUGACCUCGAGGUGCGUUCCAGGGGGAGGGUCCUAGAAGUUCUAAGGAACUGGCCACAUAGGAACGUUCAAGUUAUCUGUGUCACUGAUGGUGAGCGAAUCUUGGGACUUGGAGAUUUGGGUUGUCAGGUAUGAUUGUCUCAUUAGUUGCUUAUUACGUGAGGACCUUUGCUUAUAUUAUACUGAAUCCUUCUGUAGGGAAUGGGAAUUCCUGUAGGCAAACUUGCUCUAUACACUGCUCUUGGAGGAGUUGAUCCAUCAGCUGUAAGCAUUCAUGUCUUUUCUUUCCCCUUUUCGGUUGCAUCUCCUAUAAUGGCCAUGUAUGUUUGGUACCAACAAACAACUAAGUUAUAACAAUUGGUGAAUUCUAAAUUACGUUGCAGUGUUUGCCUAUCACAAUUGAUGUUGGCACAAAUAAUGAGAAACUGCUUAAUGAUGAGUUCUACAUUGGACUCCGACAAAAACGUGCAAGGGGCGAGGUAUGUAGUUGUGUCGAGAUUGCUAGGAGUUAAUUGGCAAAAUAUGUGAUACUUGAGAUCUUAUCUGUGAAAUUCCUUAAUGGCAGGAGUAUGAUGAGCUUAUGGAAGAGUUCAUGGCUGCUGUUAAGACAUUCUACGGUGAGAAAGUCCUCAUUCAGGUGAGUUAGACUCAACAUUGUACUUUUGCUAUGCCGGAUCAAUUUACUCUAAUACUCUUUAUCACAAAAAUGUAACGCUGUAAAUUUUGGACAGUUUGAGGACUUUGCCAAUCAUAAUGCCUUUGAUUUGCUUGAAAAAUACAGCAAGACCCAUCUUGUUUUCAAUGAUGAUAUCCAGGUAAAUGGAACCACCCAUGGUAUUUUUAUUUUUACUGAUACCAGGGGCAACCUUAAUUAAUUGAGAUCAUCAUCCUUCAGUUUAUUGCCUUUUGUGAUUGGUACCAAUUUGGAAAUAUGAAUGCUUGCAGGGCACAGCAUCAGUGGUCCUUGCAGGUUUGUUAGCAGCACUCAAGAUGGUUGGUGGGACCCUGGCAGAGCAGACUUAUUUGUUCCUUGGUGCUGGGGAGGUUAGUUAAAACAUCUCCUGGUGAACUGUUAUUUCCUUUGUCACCCAACUGUCGAAGCAUACUAUGUACUAUUUUAUCAAGAAAAGUAGACCCAUCAAUAAGAUUCUGAUAAUGUAUUUGAUUUCAGGCUGGAACUGGUAUUGCAGAACUCAUUGCUCUUGAGAUGUCGAAACAGGUAACAAGCUUCAUUGUUCUAGUAUCUGAAUGUGUGGUAGGUUUCCUUUCUCCUAGUUCUUGCUCUAACAUGGACUGGUUGGGUCGAUUAUAGACGAAGGCUCCAAUUGAAGAGUGCCGCAAGAAGGUUUGGCUGGUGGACUCAAAGGUGUGUAACCAAAGGAAAAUGCGCUGUUGCUAGUGCAGUGUUUGCUCACCUGUUUAUCUGAUGUCCUAACACGUUAUUUUGUAUACAGGGGUUGAUUGUUGACUCUCGUAAAAGCUCCCUUGCGCCAUUCAAAAAACCAUGGGCACAUGAGCACGAGCCCUUGACAACCUUGUAUGAUGCUGUUCAGGUAGUGACGCUCAUGUGCAUUUAAGAUUGUACUUCAGUUCAUUUAGCAGCUGCUGCCUUCACUUAAAGCUGUCCUGAUUGUGCUACUUUCAUAAAAAAGAAUUUACUAACCUUUCGUCAUAUCCUCCAGUCCAUCAAACCUACAGUUCUGAUUGGGACAUCUGGAGUUGGAAGAACAUUCACAAAAGAAAUUGUUGAGGCCAUGGCUUCCAUCAAUGAGGUAUUUUUUUUUCCUGUUUUCUGACAUUGCUGGUCGUAUAUUGUGAGGAUGGAAAGCUGACCUCUGAUAUCGCUAAUUGUAAAUGCAGAGGCCUAUCAUCUUUUCACUGUCAAACCCAACCUCACAUUCUGAAUGUACUGCUGAACAAGCAUAUACCUGGACUCAGGUGAGCUGUCUAAUCACCUUGUGCAGAGUUUGAUCUGCAAAUUGGUCCACUCGAGUCAAAACAUUUGGCAUUUUGUGCACUGUCUGACUACCAUUUUGAAUGUAGCCCAUCACUAGAAGACUAUCGGUGCUUAGUUUCCUGUUUAUUAAACUGUGAUCUAAUUGGACAAAAAAAAAGAAGUGGCUGAUUUCUAGAAAGAAACUUGUGGGGUCUGUACUCUGUAGUUUGCAACUCAUAUCUCUUCAUUUGCACUCUAUGCUCAGGGUCGUGCAGUAUUUGCCAGUGGCAGUCCAUUUGCCCCCGUGGAGUAUGAUGGGAAGACUUUUGUACCUGGGCAGGUAGAAGUUGUUUCUAAUAGUAAAUCCUACUAGGCAAUGCAAUCUUGCUGGUUGUAAACACCCACAAAACAUUAGUUUAUUGCUAACUCAACUGUGUUAUUUAUAACAGUCGAACAAUGCCUACAUCUUCCCUGGACUCGGCCUCGGUCUUGUUAUUUCUGGAGCCGUCCGUGUCCACGAGGACAUGCUUCUUGCCGCCUGUAAGUAGCUCUAAACGGAAACCAUUGGGCAUAAAGAAUCGUUUCUAAUACCUUGAUGAGACUGGGGACCAAUCUAAUGUUUCAUUCAUUCAAACAGCGGCUGCACUAGCUGAUCAGGCCACAGAGGAGAACUUUGUCACGGGAUCGAUCUUCCCACCCUUCACCAACAUCAGAAAGAUCUCUGCGUACAUUGCUGCAGCCGUUGCUGCAAAAGCUUAUGAACUCGGUACGCACGUCCUCUGCAGACACCAUUGCAUAUCUUGGCAUUCACCACCAAGUCUCAUAGCUGCCUGAUCUGACAUCAUAAACUUCCCUCUGCAGGUUUGGCGACCCGUCUGCCUCCCCCCAAAGACCUGGUGGCAUAUGCAGAGAGCUGCAUGUACUCUCCUGUCUACCGUAACUACCAGUAGUGCUGCUGGAAUCAAUUUUGGAGUUAUAAAAUAUAUCAACGCAGAUGAUACUGCAAUGUUGUAGUUAUCGCUGUUUAAUAUAGUCCCUGCUGCUAACCACCCUUGUUGCUGGUGCUG
rnacentral:lncRNA from 1 species